ensembl:lncRNA
AUAUACCACUUAGCAUAGAGGGUUUUACAACUACAGUUAAUAUCAGGACCUUGAGGUGAGAGGGGCAGGCUGGUUAUCCAGCUGGGGCCAAUUUAAUCACAUGCUUUCUUAAAAGCAGAGAGCCUUUCCCACUUGUGGCGAGAGAGGGAAGAUGGCGGAAGGGCGGUGAGAGACUCAACAUGGCUGACUUUCAAGAUGGAGGAAGAGGCUGGGCGUCACGGGGAGCAGGUGGCCCUGAGAAGCUGGGAGACUUCUGUUUUGAUUCAUAGGAUAUGGCAUAUGUGAGGCGAUGUCAGAUACUGGGUCCUGGCUUCUUCCUCUGACAGGUGCUCCUAGUCUCUGGGACAGUUGUGUGGGACCCCUGCUGAGGCUGCCAUGCUGUGAGGAACCCCAAGCUGACUAUAGGAAGAUUCAUUCUUGAGGAAAGGAAUUGCUGUUCAUGACUUCAUUUUUGACUCUUCUUUCAAACUAAUAUUCAUUCGAAUGUCAACAAGCCUUAAUGCUUGGACCCUUUUGAGCCAAGCACUUUUCACUGAGGAAUCGCCACACAGUUCAUUGUUUUCAUGU